UACGAAGGGGGCUAGCGUUGUUCGGAUUUACUGGGCGUAAAGCGCACGUAGGCGGAUCGUUAAGUCGGGGGUGAAAUCCUGGAGCUCAACUCCAGAACUGCCUUCGAUACUGGCGAUCUAGAGUCCGGAAGAGGUGAGUGGAACUCCUAGUGUAGAGGUGGAAUUCGUAGAUAUUAGGAAGAACACCAGUGGCGAAGGCGGCUUACUGGUCCGGUACUGACGCUGAGGUGCGAAAGCGUGGGGAGCAAACAGG
rnacentral:rRNA from 1 species